rnacentral:rRNA from 1 species
UACGUAGGGACCAAGCGUUGUUCGGAUUUACUGGGCGUAAAGGGCGCGUAGGCGGCAAUUCAAGUCAGUUGUGAAAUCUCCGAGCUUAACUCGGAACGGUCAACUGAUACUGUUUUGCUAGAGUACAGAAGGGCAAUCGGAAUUCUUGGUGUAGCGGUGAAAUGCGUAGAUAUCAAGAGGAACACCUGAGGUGAAGACGGGUUGCUGGGCUGAUACUGACGCUGAGGCGCGAAAGCUAGGGUAGCAAACGGG